rnacentral:sRNA from 1 species
CCCGGCGUUGAAACGCCGGGCUAUUGUCAGCAGCCCCUGCGGGGCU